UUCCUUCAUUGGGAGAUCCAAACCACACUGAGAGUCUUAUGAAGUUAUGGCGGUAGACAGGUGCACUGACUGCAGUAGAGUGUAUGGAUGCUAGGAAUCAGUCAUUGUGGAUGGUAAACUGCAGUACCUUAGCAACCCACUGAGGGGUUCCUCCAUUUCCACCAUGUAAAAAACUGGUUUUUGAUCGGCUGAGGAGGAGGUAACUAUCAAUAACAUUUUAUUAAACUAAAUUUUUUUUGACAGGCAUGUACAUUUUCACCUUCUCAAAACUAAAAUGUUUAUCAGCACCAUUUUUUGACCUUCCCAACUAAAUGAGAAAUGUCCUCAACAUGCUAGGCCUUUUUAUUGGGAAAUGUCUGCACUUUCACUUUGUCAUAGCACACGUAUGUUGUCAGCAUUGUAGAUAGGUAGGUUCAGUUAAUCAAUCUUUCUUGGUGUUUUGGUUAUCUUGCAUGGUGCAGUUAAAGUGACAGUUAUUUGAACUAACUGUGUUAUUAUUGACUACUUAUGCAGAAUUUCUUUGUAUCCAUAUAAGAUAGCUCUGACUAGUCCUUACCAUAUUUGCCCAUGAGGACAUACAUAAGAAAUUUUAACAAAGCAAUUCCUUCAUGCUGUAGGUAUUCCGAAUAUGAUCCCUUGACAGCACCUUCAAAGUCCUUCCAACUCUAUAUAAAACAGAUUUUAGUGUAAUAAUGUCAUGUAAACCUAUGUAAUUUUUAUUAUUUCUUUUUGCCAUAUCAUGGGAUCCCUUUUCGUAAGACAAUAAAAUAAGUCAAAAUAAGUAUAAGUUAGUCAAGAAGCUGUUCAGUCCUUUAUUUUUCUUAUCAUAUUUUGCACAGUUAGGUCGGUUGCAGAGGGGUCUUUUUGGAAUGGUUUGAAAGAAUCUUUCAUUAGUCCUAAAAAACAGUGCUCAAUAAUUAAGAGAUGUUAAUGUGCAUUUUAGCAGGGUAUCAAAUCAUUUCAUACCCAAACCGCAGGUCAAUUUGUACCAGUCUCAACAUACAUUCAUUCAAAACUCCUCACAUGCAAGCAUGUGAGCAGAUGUUGAUUGCAUACGACAAUUCAGUCGAGUGAAGAGAGUUAGAGACAAACAAAAUUCAGUUGUAAACUUGUGACCUUUGAAGCAGAAACAACUAGUUUGUGUAUUUGUUUGUCUCCCUUUGGUGGUCACAUUUAAAAAAAUGCAUGCCACAUAAACAAAAUAUGUUCUAUGAAAACUGAAAUUACUUAAAAUGUGCUUAACAGGUUAAGCAUACUCUGACUCACAGUUUGGGUACAAAAUGACUCAACUGACUGGGUACCAAUCAACCUAGCUGGGUAUGAAACAGGUUUGUACCAAAUUACCUGUUGAACCUGUAACCUAGUUGCUUUUUAAAUUGUUUUUUAAGGUGGAUUUUGUUAUUCUAUCAUACAUCUCUGUUGUAUCAUUGUAGUUAUUGUUUGGCAGAUGUAUUUUAAAAUUAAAAAAAGUUUACUGUAGGUUCUAGAGAGCAAUAGUGUCUUAGUUCUGCAUGUAUAUAGACAGAGCUUAACAAGAAGGGGGAAGAAGGAAAGUGAUGUGAAGGACAUUCAUAAGGAUGCCUCUCUUGUGAAAUUCACCCUGGCAAUCAUCAAUUGAAAGUAAACAAUUAAAGUUGCACCUUUUCUUUCGGACCACCUUUUAUGGAUGACCAGAAGUCAGACAGUUCAUUAUUUGCUUCUUCAAAAUCAAGGAGCUCCUCUGUGAAGAUGAUCAAUUAAAGAGUGGUUCAUACAAAAAGUCAAUGGUAUACUUGACAAGCAACGAAAUCAAAGUUGUGCUGGAAUUUUAUCAGUGCAUGUAUUAAGUUUCUAAAGAAACUGCAAAGAGUUUCGUAGGUGACAUUUUGAUUGUUGGCCCUUUGUCAGAGCAAAUGUGUGUACUACAGUAUAUGAUUUGCAAUUUAAAUAAAAUAUGACGCACCAUAUA